CAAGGUCAGAGUAGGUUCGUAACGUAAAAAAAAGUCAAAAAAAUCAAAAAAAAAUUUGAGUUGGAAUUUAAUUUUUUUCUUCCUUGUAUUUAGUUUACUAUUGUAUUGGAUUUAAAAAAAAGAAGAAAUAAAAAAAAGUGAAAAGUCUUGCGAGUUUUUAUCAUUAUCACUUAUUACUCCGAUCAUCAAGUUUCCCUUCCUACCAUUAUUUACCCAUCCCAACGCCACACUUUAAACCAAUUUUCUUCUUUGUUCAGCCUACCCUACACCCGACAUUAUCCUUUG
rnacentral:lncRNA from 1 species